rnacentral:misc_RNA from 1 species
AACACUUGCCCUAAUAACAUCAAAAACAUAUGCUUGGAUCUGUUCUCUGGUAUUGCUAAGCUUAUAAAAAGCAUCCGAAGCCUUGUCUGCUAGGGCUCGGUAUUGAAUAGAGGCAACGACAGUGACAAAAACAUUAUCCUUUGUCUUUGUCUCACAGCGGACAUCAAGCUGCUGAACACGUAAAGAAAGAUGACCAGCUACCUGGCUUCCAAAGCACCAUGGUAGACAAUGGCAGCCAGGUUGAAGCACAUGAUCAAAUUUCCCAAAUGUUUCUCUGAUGGCUACAGUUGACUGGUCGACUUGAAUGCAACCAAAGGCUUGACCCAUUUUGAAUUAUCAAAUUGAAAAUGCGCUGGUUCUGGGACAGCGGAAAAUCAAA